rnacentral:rRNA from 1 species
GAUUAACGCUGGCGGCGUGCAUAACACAUGCAAGUCGAACGAUGAAACUUAAAUGUUUUCUUCGGAAUGAACUUAAGUGGCUUAGUGGCGGCCGGGUGAGUAACGCGUGAGUAACCUGCCUUACACAAGGGGAUAGCCGUUGGAUACGACGUAUAAUACCCUAUGACACUAUCCCUUCGUAUGAAGCGGUAGUCAAAGUGUUAGUGGAGUAAGCUGGACUUGCGUCUGAUUAGCUGGUUGGAGGGGAAUAAGCCCACAAAGGCAACGAUCAGUAGCCGGCUUGGGAGAGUGUACGGGCACACUGGGAGAGGGACACGGCCCAGACUCCUAGGAGUGGCAGCAGUGGUGAAGUAGGCACAAUGCGGGAAACCCGGAGGCAGCGACGCCGCGAGAUUUAGAAGUCCGUCGGGUAGUAAAAUGCAAUUGUAUAGGAAGAAAAUGACGGUACUAAACGAAUAAGGUCCGGCUAACUACGUG